UCUGCUGCCACCGGAACGGGCACCGCGCCCUGGCACUGCCUCAGCACCGCCACCGGCAGCGGGACGGGGACCGGGGCCGGGACUGCGACUGAUUCUGGGAUCGGCACUGGGACCGCAGCGGGACUGGGACUGAGACUGGCACCAAGGCAGGCAUCAGCACCGGCACGGGGAUGGGAACMGGGACYGGGAUCGGGACUGGGACUCGGACUGAUUCCGGGACAGGCACCGACAUGAGGGCAUGGACCGGCAGUGGGAAUGGGAACGGGACCGGCACUGAGAUCGGUACUGCAACCAAAACAGGAAGCGGCACCAGGACUGGUGCCUGGACAGGGACCGGGACCAGCAUCGGCACCGAGACUGGCACUGGGACUGGCACUGGAACCGGSAUCGGAACCGAGACUGAGACCAAGACCGACACGAGGAUAGGGACCGGGUCGGAGAUACGAACCGGRACUGCCACCGUCACCGGCACCAGCAUCAAGACUGGAGUCACCCUGCCCAGUGCACCGAGUUCCCACAGCCCCAACCCGACGCCUUCCUCAGUCCCAUCUCCUUGGCGCAGACGGUCCCGGGCGUGCAUCCCUCCCUGGAAGCCUCAGGAAGGACCUGGAGGGGCAGAUUCGGGUCGAGGGGAGCCCUGUGUGGGGGCUGAAGGGGUAUCUCUUCCUUGGAGCACUACUGAGAGCAGGGCAGAGUGCCUCAUGCCCUUGGAGGAGCCCUUGGGAAACUUAUGAGGGUCCCAAGGGAGCCUUGAAGUGGUCCCUGAAGAGACCUGGGGGGAGCAUCGGGGCCGACUCUGCAGGGCCAAGGGGCUACUGACUACUCGGGGCAGCCCCAGGGAGGGUGAAAGGACGCCUCAAAGGGUCCCUGUUCCCUCGUAGCCAUCCCUGGGGGAGGCUGUGGUAUUUCCAGGCUGUGGAGCUGGAAACAUUUGGGGGACAAGGCAUGGGAAAGAUGUUUUAAGCCCCURCACUUGCUCCUCCUGAUGCGUGUGUGAACAGUUUGGGGGUUUCAGACGAAUUCUCACUCAUUUGGUCGGGGUCCAUGGGUGCUUGAGGUGCUGGAGGCAGCAGACUUGGCUCCCUCGGCAUGGGCUGGGGCUGUUUGGCUUCRCCUGCUCCGUGGAGCCCCAGAGACUGCUGGCAGGGCCUCGGGAUCUUCCCAGGCAGGGCGAGUGCGUGUCCUGCCCCUGGCAGGCGUUUUCCUGAGCUGUUCCUCCCCGGCACACCCAGUGCUGAGYUCCGGAGAUCACCGAGCACCUCCCCAACACCCCGCGGGCAGAAACUCUCCCGAGUCUUGGCCUGGGAGAUCAGAGAGAGUCCUCUUUUCUAUCCACUGGUAGAAGGGAGUCAUGUGAGAUGUCCACAAGUGUGCUUGGGGGAAAAGGAAUGUCAGUGAAGACCUGAAACAAUUCUGCUGCUCUUACAGCUGAGAAAGGAUCAUGCUGGAAGGUUUCUGUGGAAGUGGAGCCUGGGGAAUGGACGUGAAAAGCCUUUUUUCCCGGCUGACUCCCUUGGUGGCUGCUGAUACACCUGGAAAAAGUGASCUCUCUCUCCAAAGCCUCAUCUGCUGGCAAAGGACUGAAUCCCCCCAGCAGAUCUUGGGGUGUUUGGCUGCCCCAGCUCCUCGUCCCUCUGGCUGUGGCUCUUUGCWCUGGAACUUGGAAAGAAAAAUACUCUGGGAUGGAAAAUUUCAAGCCCAAAGGGUAAAGUUGGACAGAAUCCAAGUGGGACUUGGCAGACAGGCACAAAAGUUGUUCGUUGUGCUGACAUUUUUGCUCUGUGCUUUGGAGAGCCUCUCUGCAGCUCUGUUCCAACCAGGUYGGGCUCUGCCAGUGUCAGAGUUGAUGAUAACACCACCACACGACCACACGUGACUUUCUCAAGUGGU